GACGAACGCUGGCGGCGUGCUUAACACAUGCAAGUCGAACGGAAAGGCCCUGCUUUUGUGGGGUGCUCGAGUGGCGAACGGGUGAGUAACACGUGAGUAACCUGCCCUUGACUUUGGGAUAACUUCAGGAAACUGGGGCUAAUACCGGAUAGGAGCUCCUGCUGCAUGUUGGGGGUUGGAAAGUGUCGGCGGUUGGGGAUGGACUCGCGGCUUAUCAGCUUGUUGGUGGGGUAGUGGCUUACCAAGGCUUUGACGGGUAGCCGGCCUGGGAGGGUGACCGGCGACAUUGGGACUGAGAUACGGAGCAGAAUGGUACGGGAGGCAGUAGGGGGGAAUAUUGCAGAAUGGGCGGAAGUCUGAGGCAGCAACGCCGCGUGCGGGAUGACGGCCUUCGGGUUGUAAACCGCUUUCGCCUGUGACGAAGCGUGAGUGACGGUAAUGGGUAAAGAAGCACCGGCUAACUACGUG
rnacentral:rRNA from 1 species